AGCCCGCCCUCCCAUUUCCGGAAGCCUGGCGCAAGGUUGGUCUGCAGGUGGCCUCCAGGUGCAAAGUGGGAAGUGUGAGUCCUCAGUCUUGGGCUAUUCGGCCACGUGCCUGCCGGACAUGGGACGCUGGAGGGUCAGCAGCGUGGAGUCCUGGCCUUUUGCGUCCACGGGUGGGAAAUUGGCCAUUGCCACGGCGGGAACUGGGACUCAGGCUGCCCCCCGGCCGUUUCUCAUCCGUCCACCGGACUCGUGGGCGCUCGCACUGGCGCUGAUGUAGUUUCCUGACCUCUGACCCGUAUUGUCUCCAGAUUAAAGGUACGACAUUUGGAGGCCCCAGCGAGAAACGUCACCGGGAGAAACGUCACCGGGCGAGAGCCGGGCCCGCUGUGUGCUCCCCCGGAAGGACAGCCAGCUUGUAGGGGGGAGUGCCACCUGAAAAAAAAAUUUCCAGGUCCCCAAAGGGUGACCGUCUUCCGGAGGACAGCGGAUCGACUACCAUGUGGGUGCCCACAAAAAUUCCACCUCUGAGUCCUCAACUGCUGACCCCGGGGUCAGUAGACACGGGGUUUCACCAUGUUGGCCAGGCCGGUCUUGAACUUGUGACGUCAGGUGAUGCACCCGCCUUGGCCUCCCAAAGUGCUGGGAUUACAGGUCCAGAUUUUGAACAAAUCUCGCUAGAGAUUGAACAGAGCUGCGCCUGGAUCCCGCCACAGUGAGGAGACCUGAAGACCAGAGAAAACACAGCAAGCCCCUGGAUCCUCCUGGAAUCCCCGAUCCCUCUUGCUCCCUGGCAGAGUUUUCUAGUCCCUCUUACUUGAAGCAUGUCUUUCAGAGCCCGGCACCACCCAUCUUGAGUAUCUGCUACACCUCUAUGGUAUUUUUUUCACCUCAUAUCAUACCUUCCUCCCUCACUGGACUUCAGUGUGGGACCUGCAGGUCUCAGGCCUUCUGGGAAGUCCCAGCUUUUCUUGAAUGUUUUCUCUCUCUGGCCAGCUCAGGCUGGAGCAGUGGGUGUUGGUGCCAUCCUGUGGCUAUAGGUGAUAAGCCGGCUGUUCUUCACUGACCUGGUCUUACCUUGAACCCUGGAGUUCUCACAUGCAUGGAUUUAAAUGCUGUGUCUUUCUAAGGGCACAUUAUGGCCAUUUUCCUUAUCUCCCUCCCAAGGGGCUGUUUGCUGUGUUUAUUGACUCCCUGUUUAAAAAACAUAUAUAUAUAUAUAUAUAUAGACGAAUUAGGUUGUACCCCAUAAAUUGCAUGUUUGAAAAAUAUUUCAAAGAAUAGUUUAUUUUUUUUUGCUGAUUUUUAUGUAUCUUCUAAAUUGUAUAUAUUUAUGGGGUAUAAAAUGAUGUUGUGAUUUUUCAAUACAGUGUGGAAUGAGAAUCAAAUUAACCUAUCCGUUACCUCAAGUACUUGACUUUUUUUGUGAUGAGAAGGCUGUUUAUCACUUUCACUCACCAGCUCCUGCUGUCUUCCAUGCUGGGGACAGGAAAGGCUCCACGCUUGACUUUCCCUCCUGUUUUCUUAUCUGCUGUCAACCCCUGAAUGUACCCUCCAGGAUUGCCUUCUAGACCUUCUACAUCUAGCUCGAUCAUUGUGCACCCACCUUCCUCCCAGGGACUGUCCUUAGGGAGUGACUUUAUGCACAAACUUCACAUGCUCUUCCUGCCUCCUUCAUCCCCAUAAGCCCCCAUCUCAGCCCCAUCUGAUUAUUUCUUCCCUGUCUCAUUUCCUGUUAUGCUGUUGGUUUUCUAACCUGAAGGGUAACUUCUUACUCCUUAGUUUUUUGCCUUAAUUUCUAAGUCAUAGGCUACUUUCAGGCUAAAAGUUUUCCUCCAGCCAUGGUUUUAGUCUCAUUCUAUAAGUCUUGCUAGGUAGUUUAUUCAUUGGAAAUUUUUUGUUUUUGAGACAGAGUCUCGCUCUGUCACCCAGGCUGUAGUACAGUGGUGCCAUCUCAGCUCACUGCAACCUCCGGUUCCCGGGCUCAAGCAGUUCUCUUUCCUCAGCCUCCUGAGUAGCUGGGAUUAUGGGUGCCUGCCACCACACCCAGCUAAUUUUUGUAUUUUUAGUAGAGACGGCAUUUCACCAUGUCAGCCAGGUUGGUCUCGAACUCUUGACCUCAAGUGAUCCGCCCACCUUGGCCUCCCAAAAUACUGGGAUUACAGGGGUGAGUCACCACACCCCACCCCUUGGCACUAUAUUUAAGUGAUGAUAUUUUUGGACACUGAGGUAGCCUCAUUCCACAGGUUUAGAUCUGAAGCAUUUUCACUAUUGCUUCUUUCCAUGUAUUUCCUGGUUUGCAGGUCAGUUUCUUCUUUUAAUUCAUCAUUGACACAGUGGUUUAUAUGGCUUUUAAUUUCAAAAGAUUUUUUAAAAUAUCUUUUUGCCGAUUUUUAUCUAUGUUAAUUUUAACUAGACAUGUUCCCUGGAAGGACAUCACUAGUUUUUUUUUUUUUUUUUUCACUCUGUUUAUAAUUUAGGUGGAUUUUCACAUCUCAAGCCAGCUAAGAGUAUGGGAAAUAGGACUCGUUAAAGCACAGAUAUCACACAAGUGAUUCAGAUUCACGAGGGUAAUCCAGAUGAAGGUAUAUCAUUGUACCUGGCCCGCAUCACUCAGUAACUGUCACCUUUGAUUUAUUGAUUUACUUGAGAUGGAGUUUGGUUCUGUCCCCGAGGCCGGAGUGCAAUGGCGUGAUCUCUGCUCACUACAACCUCUGCCUCCCAGGUUCAGAGUGAUUCUCCUGCCUCAGCCUCUUUAGCUGGGAUUACAGGCACCCACCAACAUGCCCAGCUAAUUUUUGUAUUUUUAGUAGAGAGGAGCUUUCACCAUAAUGGCCAGGCUGGUCUUGAACCUCAAAUGAUCUGCCCACCUUGGCCUCCCAAAGUGCUAGGAUUACAGGCUGGAGCUACAGAGCCCAGCCUGUCACCUUGAUUUAAAUGAAUGCAGCUUUCUUGGUGUCUUGAUGUUUGUGAAUUUCUGUGGAGUUUGAUACUGCUCCUUUUGCUGCUUGUUUUUCCAGAGUCCCCUUAUCACUUGACGUGCUGUUAUAUUAUGUUUGAUUUAUUACAGAUACCCCAUCAGCCUGAGUCUCUUAAAGGCCUUUAUACACAUAUGUCUACACAUAGGGAUUUGGAUGAUCUCGGGAUCCCACAUCCUCGCUGUCCCCUGUCCCCCCGCAACAUCCCCCACCAAUACCUUUCUGAAGUUUUCUAGUCCCUCCUUUUUGUUUGUGCUCCUUAAAGCCCAGCCCCAUGCCUGACUUUGGUUCCCAGUGAGCAUUGUACAUUUGUGGAUAUUAAAUCUUUGGCAAAGUCAUUUACCUGGGCUGGAAUAGGGCUCUUGGCUGAUUCUUUUUCCUAAACACCCACCCAAUGGGAGAGGCUGAUACUCAACAUGCAAACCUUGUGUUUUAUUUCUCCAGGCGAAGGGAUGUUGGAAGACAUUCUGGAAGGGGUGGGGUGUGAAGAUUUACAAAUAAUCUUUGAAUAUCUGCUUCAUGAUAGGUCUUGGAGGUGCCUUGUGGGUGUGGCUUUGGGGGGAUGGUUACGAGGAAAUUGUGGAUAUUAAGGAAGUCAGGAAAGGAAAAGAUCAGUCACAAUUCAACAAUUCAGAGAAAGCUCCUAAGGGACUUUCUGGCUGCUUGAUGCCCAGAGGCCAGGCCCUCACUUCGUAUUAAGGCUCAGGACUGUGGAUAGAGAAUUUAAAGGGGCACCAAAAAAAACAUUAAAAUAGAUAAACAUAUUUUUAAUGGAAUACCUUUAAAAAUGCAAAUCAAUGCACAAAGAAAACGCCCA
rnacentral:lncRNA from 10 species